rnacentral:rRNA from 1 species
CCAGCCUAUGGGGGGCUGCAGUGGGGAAUAUUGGACAAUGGGCGCAAGCCUGAUCCAGCCAUGCCGCGUGUGUGAAGAAGGCCUUCGGAUUGUAAAGCACUUUAAGUUGGGAGGAGGCUACUUGGUUAAUACCAGAGUGGACGUUACCGACAGAAUAAGCACCGGCUAACUCUGUGCCAGCAGCCGCGGUAAUACAGAGGGUGCAAGCGUUAAUCGGAAUUACUGGGCGUAAAGCGCGCGUAGGUGGUUUGUUAAGUUGGAUGUGAAAUCCC